AGAGUUUGAUCCUGGCUCAGAGCGAACGCUGGCGGCAGGCCUAAUACAUGCAAGUCGAACGGAUCCUUCGGGAUUAGUGGCGGACGGGUGAGUAACACGUGGGAACGUGCCCUUUGGUUCGGAACAACUCAGGGAAACUUGAGCUAAUACCGAAUGUGCCCUUCGGGGGAAAGAUUUAUCGCCAUUGGAGCGGCCCGCGUCUGAUUAGCUAGUUGGUGAGGUAAAGGCUCACCAAGGCUACGAUCAGUAGCUGGUCUGAGAGGAUGAUCAGCCACACUGGGACUGAGACACGGCCCAGACUCCUACGGGAGGCAGCAGUAGGGAAUCUUGCGCAAUGGGCGAAAGCCUGACGCAGCCAUGCCGCGUGAAUGAUGAAGGUCUUAGGAUUGUAAAAUUCUUUCAGCGGGGACGAUAAUGACGGUACCCGCAGAAGAAGCCCCGGCUAACUUCGUGCCAGCAGCCGCGGUAAUACGAAGGGGGCUAGCGUUGCUCGGAAUUACUGGGCGUAAAGGGCGCGUAGGCGGAUGUUUAAGUCAGAGGUGAAAGCCCAGGGCUCAACCUUGGAACUGCCUUUGAUACUGGACAUCUUGAGUAUGGGAGAGGUGAGUGGAACUCCGAGUGUAGAGGUGAA
rnacentral:rRNA from 1 species